GGAUGUGAGUACGAUCUGGUUUCGACAUCUGUCACCCCACUGAUCGCCAGGGUAGGUUCGGCUGAUCUGGCUGGCUAGGCGGGUGUCCCCUUCCUCCCUCAGCGCUCCAUGUGCGUCCCUCCCGAAGCUGCGCGCUCGGUCGAAGGGGACGACCAUCCCCGAUAGCGGAGGACCAGUCUUCGGUCAAGGGUAUACGAGUAGCUGCGCUCCCCUGCUAGAACCUCCAAACAAGCUCUCAAGCCAUGUCUACAAACACAAAAUAAGAAAAAUUAUAUUAAGCGUUAAUGAGUCAAAACAUAGCUCGGUCUCUUAUA
ensembl:misc_RNA 7SK 7SK RNA